rnacentral:rRNA from 1 species
GGUUCAGGAUGAACGCUAGCUACAGGCUUAACACAUGCAAGUCGAGGGGCAGCAUUGGAGUAGCAAUACUUCAGAUCGGCGACCGGCGCACGGGUGAGUAACACGUAUCCAACCUGCCGCUUACUCGGGGAUAGCCUUUCGAAAGAAAGAUUAAUACCCGAUGGUAUAAAGAGUUCGCAUGUUCUCUUUAUUAAAGAACUUCGGUAAGCGAUGGGGAUGCGUUCCAUUAGAUAGUUGGCGGGGUAACGGCCCACCAAGUCUACGAUGGAUAGGGGUUCUGAGAGGAAGGUCCCCCACAUUGGAACUGAGACACGGUCCAAACUCCUACGGGAGGCAGCAGUGAGGAAUAUUGGUCAAUGGACGAGGGUCUGAACCAGCCAAAGUAGCGUGAAGGAUGACUGCCCUAUGGGUUGUAAACUUCUUUUAUAAGGGAAUAAAGUGAGGGACGUGUCCCUUUUUGUAUGUACCUUAUGAAUAAGGAUCGGCUAACUCCGUGCCAGCCGCCGC